CUGCACAUAUUUUCCAUCCAUCUUGCUGCAGUCCCCAUAAGGCGGCCGGCUCUGGGUGAGUCAGGGUAGCAGAGCCCUUUCCUCCAGUCUUACAGGGGUGGAAGUCCGCAUGUGUGCAACGCUCGCGGGGUUUGGCUGUUGCAGGCAGGAGCUGGGAGGAGGCAGCAGCAGCGGCGGCGGCAGGAGCAGCGGCGGCGGCAGCAGCUGGGAGGAGGUGGUGACGGUGGCAACGGCAGCGUCGGGGACGAUGGCGCGACUGGUGGCAGUGUGCAGGGACGGGGAGGAGGAGUUCCCCUUCGAGAGGAGGCAGAUCCCCCUCUACAUAGACGACACCCUGACGGUGAGCGAGCGGGCUGAGCGGGCCGGGCCGGGAUGGGCCCGCUGCUCCCCGGCCUGGCAGCUGUUUCCCCUCCCCCAGGCCGAGCGCUGCGCACUGGAGAAAGAGUGUGUUGCAACUCCUAGGCGAGGCCGCCUCUCCGAUGGGCC
rnacentral:sRNA from 1 species